GGAGAGUUGGCAGAGUGGCCGAAUGCGGCGGUCUCGAAAACCGUUAUCCUCGUAAGGGGAUCGAAGGUUCGAAUCCUUCACUCUCCGCCA
rnacentral:tRNA from 1 species